CGCGCACUUUUUGAAUUCUCUAACGCUGGAUUCGUACGUUAGUAUCUCGUGCAGUAAGUCUGGUCUGCAUUGAACGCUAAAACUAGUCAGAGUCAGAAGUUAUGGAAAAUAGAAAAAAAAAGUCUACGUAGAAAUUAACUUUUUUUUAUUAUUUCUUGGAUUUGUUAUAAUUGAAGUGGUUUCCAACAGCAGACAGUACAGACCAGUUGCUUGUCUAAUGAUCCUUCAACUUGACACCACCUAAAGUGGCAAGAUAAUUGGUUUCUUUCAACUAGGUAGAUAAUGUGAGUUGGCCACCGUAAAGAGUUUCUGAAUUUGGGCUAUUAGCACUCAAACAACACCGGCAGUACUAGUUUAAACAUACUAUAUCUUAUCUUAUGAAACGAAAACUAACCAUGUGUGUUUGAUUUUAUUAGUCACUUUUUUUCCUAUAUUGGAUUUGCAAAGUCGAAAGGAUAAAAUAAAAACAAGGACUCAAAGAGGAUUGGAUCUUUGUAAUGGGAAAUAUACAGAAGAAUGAAGAAGAAACCUGCUAAAUGUUGCUGGAAUUUCAUUAUUGAAGAAGGAAACGAGAGAAGUCUCUGUCUAUUUUUUAUCUAAGCCAAUAACAAGAACUGUCAAGUGAAGUAAGAAUUUUUUUACGUCUUCGUAGCAGCGAGAGUAGUUUUGAAAUUUUAUUCAAGUGUUACUUUACCUAUUAAGAGUCGUAAAAUGUUGCCCAUACCAAACCUUUUAAGUGAAUAAGUCUUACUUUAUUGGGGGGAAUUUUCGUUGAGAAGGCAGAAUGUCGUAGAAAACUUUCUUUGUUUGGAGUGGUUUAAAAAUUUAUCGUAAACGUGCCGCUGAAAAAUCGCUCAAAAAGUUGUGAAAAUUCUGAAAUAGUAGACGUCAAAAAGUCAUUCGGCAAGAAUUUUGAAAUUUGUAAGUGCGAGUUGAAAGUCUUCAAGAAUAUGUUUAGCUUAGCAGUUAUGAUGCAAGUGAAUGGUCAUUCUAAAAUCUGUCAAAGUCUAGCAGUAGUAAUGCAAGUAAAUGUCUUAAACAUCUGUCAAACUAGCAGUGCAACUAAAGAGUCGUUUCGAAAUCUAUCACAAUCUAGUCAUAGCAGUGAAACUAAAACGUCAUCUUCAAAAUGUAGCAAUGCGAGUGAAAAGUCGUUGUGAAAUCAGUCAAAAUGCAGCUGAAAAUUCGAUCAAAAAUUCUCAACUGCAUAAGUAGUGUAAUGAGAAAAGAUCUUCAAAAAUCUGUCAAAGUCUAGCAGUAGUAGUGCAAGUAAAAAAGUCGUUAAAAAUCUAUGAAAGUCGUGCAGAAGUAAUACAAUUGAAACGUUGUUAUAAGACUUCUACUAGUAGAAUAAAGUCGUUUUAAAAUUU